GCGUGCUCAGGGAGGCUGCGCCGAGCACUGAGCUUGGGCGUUGCUCAGUAUCUCGAAGGCAUUUUUAUCCAUGCUCCAAGGCUCUGGAUGCCCAUCUUAGCCAAUGGCCAUGGUGAGGGACUGGACAAGUGCCCUAGCACAGGGGCAGGCUGUGCACUCAGUGGGGCCAGCUUCCCUGCAGCCUCUCUCUGUUCUCAGCCCUGGGCCCUGGCCUUGACUCAGGGACUCUCCAUCCACCGAAGAGAACCAGAAAGCCUUCUGCUUCCCUCCCACCCCGGCUCAGGCAGGAUUAAUGCCAUUCUGCAGCCUCAGCGAGAAUCUCAGGUUACCAUGGCAACCCUGCACAGGGAGGAGCGGGCCGGGCCUGACUUGGGGAUGAGAAGUUUCCAAGGUAGCUGUGCCCGAGGGGAUCGUCCAGCGGUGACAGAGGACCAUGGGAAGAGAAAACAGAAGCCCAGAAGAUGAAGCCAGGGCACAGUGUGACGAUGGAUUAGAAGUGGGUUGUUCUGAUCCGGGACCUCGUAACGCCGUCUGCUUCUCCAUGUGAUUUAUUAUUUACCUCAAAGGGACUUCGAGAGAGAGAGAACGCCUUGGUUCCCAUCACUGAGGCCAGUGUCCUUUGGUCCUGCUAGGGAGGGGCCUGUCCCUCCUGUUGGCCUACUGGACACAGGUCUGGGGGUGCUAGUGAGGGACAGUGGCUGGGUGGACUAGGGGGCUUCUCUCCUGAGUUCCGGGCGAGGCUGCCCUGUCCCUGCUGCCCACACUGCAGUGGCCCUCAGGAGGCAGAGCCCCGCCUGCUGGCUCUGGUGGAGCUGGGCCCUUCCUCCCGGGGCUGGACACCCUGGCCUCUGUCCCUCCCUCCCUCCCAGGCCUGGGCACUCUGGCUGCCCCUGUCUCCCAGGACUGCUCCUGCCCACCCAUCCCAGAGGGCCGCUCAAGGGCCCCUUUGAGCUGUCUGGCCCCUUCCAUUCCUGCCUCCAGCCCUGACUGUGAGGUGCUGGGGGAGGCCCGGGGGCCCUGAAACCCCACAGGACACCCCGCCUUCCCUGGGGACUCCAGGAUGAGGACCAAACCUGCCCUUCCCCAGGAAGGGCCCCCUUCCUGAGCUUCUCCCCACGGGCUGCAGUACCCCCAUUUCCCCAGCCCACCAGGCUGUUCUCCGGACCGUGGAGCCUCGUGUGCUAGGAGAGGCCAGUGAAGGUCUGCCGUGAGGGAGUGGCCACCCAGAGACCACGGCGGCAGGGUGGUGGCAAGGUGUCAGGGGACACAGAACCCGCCCUGCACGCCUGAAACCCUCCACCUAGGGGAUCUGGGGUGGAUUUUCACUUCUUCUCUGUAUUCUUCUGUACUUUUCCAAACAUCUAAAGUAAACAUUCUUUUUAGAGUAGGGGGCGGUACUAAAAGACCCUCAACCCCUACACCUUGGCCUGCGUCUAUUUUGCCCACCUCACAACCACCCUCGGCCAGGUGGGAGGCCUCCGUAGGUGGGAUAGCUGAGUACAGAGCCCUCCUCCCUCCUCCGUCCCAGAGCCAAGAAACACACACCGUGGGAGUCAGGCAUUGAGUCCAAGCUCCACUGUUCACCUGCUGUGUGACCACAGAGGGGUUACUGUAUGUCUCUGAGCCCCAGUUUCCCUGUCGAUUACAUGUAGUCUACAUGCAGUUUGGAGUAGUUUUGGACAAGGAGGAAGAUGAUCUGAAUUCAAGGUGACCGGAGGAGCAAGAAACUUCCUCAAUGGGAUGAAAACUACAUACUCACCCAGGAAAGUAGCACCAAGCCCCCACAGCCAUAUCCCAGUUCAGUUUCUAAAAACCUGGGCUAAAGGGAAAACAUCAACAAAACAAAAACAAACAAACAAACAAAACAAAACCCAAACCAGACAGUAACAACUGAGCAAGAUACAAGGGCCACAGACUUCUUGUCUGGAACUAUGCAGGUCAGAAGACCAUGGAAACCAUGGCCCAAGAAGUCUGCAUCCACCGAAAACACCCUUCAAAAAUCAAGGCAAAAACAUUAAAGGCAAAAUGAAAAUUUUUUCAGACUUAAAAAAGCUGAGAGAGUCUUUGUUCAAAAGAGCUACACGGUAAGAAAUGUCAUGAAGUCGGCACGCGCCCUCUGGGCACCGUAACAAGGGGCUGGUGACUUGAUUAUGGACUAGAAGGAACUUCGUCCUCAGGUGCCGAGAACCCGGGUCUGCAUGAGGACACCAAUUCCUGAUGUGUGAACUGGGGGUGAGACGUUCGCUGCUUCUGAGGUCUUUGAAAGGGUCCUCUCCUUGGUUUUCGAGGGGAUUGUAUCUGGACCUGGAUUUGGGGGGCUGAAUAAGAGUCUCUCUUCUGUUUUAGAUGGGUUAGGCUCUAAGAAAUAAAACGCCAAACACCAAACUUCAAAGGCAACUUCAAAAGACGCUUCCGUUGAGCGAUCAUUUCCUGAUAAUUAAGAAGAUGUCAGAAGAAAGACAUUCUGGGUGCAGUGGCAAGACCUCUGGGCUCCAGGGUCGCACAGACCUGCAUUGAAAUCCCAGUUUGGCUACCGCGUUCCUGUAUUCCGUGAGUGUUCCCGAGAGUCUGUAUUCCGGCUCCUGUAGGGACUGGAGACACAGAAACAGUGCACAUGUCCCUGCCUCCACGGUGUUGAUAUUCUAGUGGGGAGACAAUAAAAGUGAGCAAGCUGCUUGGGUUUGAA